UACGGGAGGCAGCAGUAGGGAAUAUUGGGCAAUGGACGCAAGUCUGACCCAGCCAUGCCGCGUGCAGGAUGAAGGCGUUAUGCGUUGUAAACUGCUUUUAUACAGGAAGAAACGACUCUUGCGAGAGGCAUUGACGGUACUGUAUGAAUAAGCACCGGCUAACUCCGUGCCAGCAGCCGCGGUAAUACGGAGGGUGCAAGCGUUGUCCGGAUUUAUUGGGUUUAAAGGGUGCGCAGGUGGUUUAUUAAGUCAGUGGUGAAAGACGGUCGCUCAACGAUUGCAGUGCCAUUGAAACUGGUAGACUUGAGUAAAGUAGAGGUGGGCGGAAUUGAUAGUGUAGCGGUGAAAUGCAUAGAUAUUAUCAAGAACUCCAAUUGCGUAGGCAGCUCACUUGGCUUUUACUGACACUCAUGCACGAAAGUGUGGGUAUCAAACAGGAUUAGAUACCCUGGUAGUCCACACUGUAAACGAUGAUAACUAGGUGUCGGCUGAAUCUGGUCGGUGCCACAGCGAAAGCGUUAAGUAUCCACCUG
rnacentral:rRNA from 1 species